UACGAAGGGGGCUAGCGUUGCUCGGAAUCACUGGGCGUAAAGCGCACGUAGGCGGAUCUUUAAGUCAGGGGUGAAAUCCCAAGGCUCAACCUUGGAACUGCCUUUGAUACUGGGGAUCUCGAGUCCGGAAGAGGUUGGUGGAACUGCGAGUGUAGAGGUGAAAUUCGUAGAUAUUCGCUAGAACACCAGUGGCGAAGGCGGCCAACUGGUCCGGUACUGACGCUGAGGUGCGAAAGCGUGGGGAGCAAACAGG
rnacentral:rRNA from 1 species